GGGCGGUUAGCUCAGUUGGUAGAGCGUCUCGCUUACACCGAGAAUGUCGGCGGUUCGAGCCCGUCACCGCCCACCA
rnacentral:tRNA from 1 species